CAGCCGCCGCGGUAAUACGUAGGUGGCAAGCGUUGUCCGGAAUUAUUGGGCGUAAAGGGCUCGCAGGCGGUUUCUUAAGUCUGAUGUGAAAGCCCCCGGCUCAACCGGGGAGGGUCAUUGGAAACUGGGAAACUUGGGUGCAGAAGAGGAGAGUGGAAUUCCACGUGUAGCGGUGAAAUGCGUAGAGAUGUGGAGGAACACCAGUGGCGAAGGCGACUCUCUGGUCUGUAACUGACGCUGAGGAGCGAAAGCGUGGGGAGCGAACAGGAUUAGAUACCCCAGUAGUCCCUGUCUCUUAUAA
rnacentral:rRNA from 1 species